GGGCAGUAGGAAGCGGCUGGAGGGAGCUUGUGCUCGGGUGGAGGCUGCCGAGCAGCCCGAUUCAGGCGUUCUCUGGUGUCUCCGCCCCGUUGCCUCCCGACCCCAUGCUCUCCCUUAUUCAUGUCCCGUUCCUCCUCGUGCCGGAGGACACGGCUGCCAGUGACGCCGCCGCUGCACGGCAGGAGCCCCGCGCCUUUCGGUGCCACCCAAGGUGCAGAAACCCCUCAGUUCUCUUCUUGCUGGGGCUCGGGAAACAGAAACUAUUGACAUGCUGACACCCGCCGACCAAUGCCGGUACCGCAGCUCACGGUGUGCGCAGAUGCCGCAAGUUGAAGCCGGGAAGCGGCGCCCGUCCCUGCCUCCCGGUAAGGAAACUGUGCGUACCCUACCCCUCAUGUGUGCCCGCAGCCCCACCCUCCCGUCCAAAUCCGUGUCUUUGUCCUCGGCUCUUCGAACAUGUCCCCGCCUCGCCGGUUUCUUCUCUCCUCCGUGAGCCGCUCCUGCGGGCGCUGGCGGGGGACGCUCAGCGGCUCAGAAGGCAAAGCGUGGAACGGUCUGCGGCUGCGCGUACGCUAACUUUUCGGGCACCCCUCACUUCCCGUCACGUGGUACUUCUGUCCUUCCCGCAUGAUGGCGCCGCGCUAGCUGCCAGUAAGGAAGCGAUGCCGUUGUCGCGGAACUGCAGUGCUGCGGGCAGGCGACGGUUCUGGCCGCUCCGGCGCUCCGCUGGCAUCCGGGACGAGGAGGCUGGGAGGGCGGAAGAGACAGGGACGUGACAAGCUGGCACUGGGGAGGACCCCGGCAAGGACCAGCUGCCCCCUCCUGGUUUUGUAUUUGUGUGUCCUUGUUGGAGAACAGCAGAGGAGCCGGCCUGCAUGGGAUAGAGGAGUGCUGCAGAUUCCCUGGCAUUCACUGAUCCUGAAGAAGAACAAAGAACUGUAAAUAACUUAAGGAUGUUAUGUCCUGGUACCUGGUGCCUCUGGUGAGAAUGGGGAGAUAAGGUUUUAUGUUUGUAGAAAGAGCACUUUGAGCUGUACAUUGUAGAUCAAUCAGUAGAUAUCGGGAUCCUAUGUAAGUCUUGCCAGCCACACAAUAAAGGAUUCUGAUU